ACGGAAGGCAGCAGUGGGGGAUAUUGCACAAUGGAGGAAACUCUGAUGCAGCAACGCCGCGCGAGGGAAGAAGGUUUUCGGAUUGUAAACCUCUGUUUUUAGUGAAGAAACAAAUGACGGUAGCUAAAGAGGAAGCCACGGCUAACUACGUGCCAGCAGCCGCGGUAAUACGUAGGUGGCAAGCGCUGUCCGGAUUUACUGGGUGUAAAGGGUGCGCAGGCGGGACUGCAAGUUGGAUGUGAAAUACCGAGGCUUAACCUCGGGGCUGCAUCCAAAACUGUGGUUCUUGAGUGGAGUAGAGGUAAGCGGAAUUCCGAGUGUAGCGGUGAAAUGCGUAGAUAUUCGGAGGAACACCAGUGGCGAAGGCGGCUUACUGGACUGUAACUGACGUUGAGGCUCGAAAGCGUGGGGAGCAAACAGGAUUAGAUACCCUGGUA
rnacentral:rRNA from 1 species